AGCAGCCGCGGUAAUUCCAGCUCCAAUAGCGUAUAUUAAAGUUGUUGCAGUUAAAAAGCUCGUAGUUGAAUUUCGGGAUCAAAUUGUCGGUCGUGCCUCGGUACGUACUGGCGUUAUUGGUUCCUCCCUUCUGAAGAACCGCGAUGUCAUUAAUUUGGUGUCGCGGGGAAUCAGGACUGUUACUUUGAAAAAUUAGAGUGUUUAAAGCAGGCUCGCGCUUGAAUACAUUAGCAUGGAAUAAUGAAAUAGGACGUUUGAUUCUAUUUUGUUGGUUUCUAGGAUCGACGUAAUGAUUAAUAGGGAUAGUUGGGGGCAUUAGUAUUCAAUUGUCAGAGGUGAAAUUCUUGGAUUUAUUGAAGACUAACUACUGCGAAAGCAUUUGCCAAGGAUGUUUUCAUUAAUCAAGAACGAAAGUUAGGGGAUCGAAGACGAUCAGAUACCGUCGUAGUCUUAACCAUAAACUAUGCCGACUAGGGAUCGGAUGAUGUUAAUUUUUAAUGUACUCAUUCGGCGCCUUAC
rnacentral:rRNA from 1 species